UACGAAGGGGGCUAGCGUUGCUCGGAAUUACUGGGCGUAAAGGGCGCGUAGGCGGCUAUCUAAGUUGGGGGUGAAAUCCCGGGGCUCAACCUCGGAAUUGCCUUCAAAACUGGAUAUCUUGAGUUCGGGAGAGGUGAGUGGAACUCCGAGUGUAGAGGUGAAAUUCGUAGAUAUUCGGAAGAACACCAGUGGCGAAGGCGACUCACUGGCCCGAUACUGACGCUGAGGCGCGAAAGCGUGGGGAGCAAACAGG
rnacentral:rRNA from 1 species